rnacentral:misc_RNA from 1 species
ACACCUCAACUCUCGCGGUUCGCCACGAUGAGCUUGGACUUUGGGGGUCUUGCCGGCCUGUGGUCGGCUCCUCUCAAACAAAUCAGCUUGCCAGUGUUUGGUGGCAUCACAAGUGUGAUAACUAUCUGCGCUCGUGGUUUCUCACCAGGUAACCUUCAGCAAUGGAGGUUCACCGGAGCUUAUAAAUGUCUCUCCUCAGCGAGGACACAUUUUGACC